rnacentral:rRNA from 1 species
CCUCUCGGGGGUAGGCGGGCAGAACUUGCAAGUAUUGGNGAGAAUAUUCAGGCUUAGUGUGUUGGCGACUGAGAGUACUUGUUAUGUUAUCCGUUUCGGCGGAUUGGCAGGUGUGUGCNCUUUGNUUUGCUGACGAUGCGCCGCAUUUAUUCUCAUCAUCGGGUUGCAUGUGACUGAGACUGGUAGAUUAGGUGCUUGGAUACUGCGAAGCCUUGUUGUUNGAGUCCAGUUUCACACUACUGCUGCGGUCAUUNNAAUUGUUUGAACAGGCGAUUAGGCGCGGUCAACUAUUUGUACGAGUUGUGUACGUAUGAUGUGUGGACGGGUAACCGUAACACGUUGUACGAGGCUGAUUGUCGGUACGAGUAGUUUGGCNCUGUUCAGUAUUGCAAUCUAANGCAUGCGUGGUCUGCCUGU